rnacentral:sRNA from 1 species
AGAUGAAGAGGUGUCUCGGCCAAAAGGUGUAAGGUCGAGCGGGUACCAACGAACUGUUGCAUCGCCCAAAGGAUGCAAGGAACGGAUGUGACUUUUCAGAAGGGUGCAAGGAACGGAUGUGAUGCUUUCGGAAGCAUCCAUUCGCCCCCUAUAUAAGGGAGGACGCCCAAGGCAUCAACACAUCAUCCAUACACCACAAAACAUUCUCAAAACAGUCCCAACACAUCUUGAAAUUGUUGGUCAGAAAGGGAGUGCGGCUCGGCGAGUAUAACUCGACCGAACUGAUGCGCAUGCUAUCUCCUGUGCAACGGUUCGAUGGAGUGUAGAGGAUGGAGAGGGUAGACCGUUCGUCUUAGAUACGAAUCGGAUCUGAUAGACCGUUCGUCGGAUCGAUCGGCCAGACCGAUUGUCAGACAGAUCGGAUCGGCCAGACGAAUCGAAUCGGACAGACCGAUCGUCGGACGGAUCGGAUGGGACAGGCCGAUCGUCGGACGGAACAGGUCGGACAGACCGAUCGUCAGAGGGGAUGGAUCGAGAAAAGUGUUCGAGGAAGCACAAGGAUAAGUGCAUCCGAACAAACCCAAGGGUCGCCCAUGGAUGCAAUCUUACCGGUAAAGGGAGAAAGCACCAAGAAUGGGUAAGGAACGUUAUUCACCAUAUAUGAUAAAUAUCGUGACCGCCUUCAUGUAUCUAUCUCCUCAGCCAUGGUGAAACCGAUCGGAGAUCGG